CCUACCCCUAGAGGCAUUGCUGGUGUGGCUGCUGUGUCACAUGUGUAUCAGUAGGUGGCAGAGAGAAGAGGCUAUAUUUAUGCUCAGUGUUCUGACCUAUAAACAUUGGAAUAAUUAGUGGUCUAGCAUU